UACAGAGGUCUCAAGCGUUGUUCGGAUUCACUGGGCUUAAAGGGCGCGUAGGCGGGUCGGCAAGUCAGGGGUGAAAGCCCGCGGCUCAACCGCGGAAGUGCCUUUGAUACUGCCGGUCUUGAGGGAGGCAGGGGAGCGCGGAACUUCCGGUGGAGCGGUGAAAUGCGUAGAUAUCGGAAGGAACACCGGUGGCGAAAGCGGCGCUCUGGUCCUCUUCUGACGCUGAGGCGCGAAAGCCAGGGGAGCAAACGGG
rnacentral:rRNA from 1 species